rnacentral:lncRNA from 1 species
AUGGUGCUUUUGCAGCAACAUGUUAGAUGUUCAGCUAAUCAACAUCAACAGUCAUUGCCUCCCAGCUGCAGGUUGUUGCCUCCCAGCUGCAGGUACCUCACAGACACAUAUCGGUGUUGCCUCCCAGCUGCAGGUACCUCACAGACACAUAUCGGUGUUGCCUCCCAGCUGCAGGUACCUCACAGACACAUAUCGGUGUUGCCUCCCAGCUGCAGGUACCUCACAGACACAUAUCGGUGUUGCCUCCCAGCUGCAGGUACCUCACAGACACAUAUCGGUGUUGCCUCCCAGCUGCAGGUACCUCACAGACACAUAUCGGUGUUGCCUCCCAGCUGCAGGUACCUCACAGACACAUAUCGGUGUUGCCUCCCAGCUGCAGGUACCUCACAGACACAUAUCGGUGUUGCCUCCCAGCUGCAGGUACCUCACAGACACAUAUCGGUGUUGCCUCCCAGCUGCAGGUACCUCACAGACACAUAUCGGUGUUGCCUCCCAGCUGCAGGUACCUCACAGACACAUAUCGGUGUUGCCUCCCAGCUGCAGGUACCUCACAGACACAUAUCGGUGUUGCCUCCCAGCUGCAGGUUGUUGCCUCCCAGCUUUGGUUACCUCACAGACACAGAUCGUUGUUGCCUCCCAGCUGCAGGUUGUUGCCUCCCAGCUGCAGGUUGUUGCCUCCCAGAUUCAGGUGUUACAUCACAGACACAGAUCGUUGUUGCCUCCCAGCUGCAGGUUGUUGCCUCCCAGAUUCAGGUGUUACAUCACAGACGCAGAUCGUUGUGGCCUCCCAGCUGCAGGUUGCUCUUCUCUUUCUUAGGAUUCCAGACCAUAAUUCCUCUCAGGCCGACCGAAUUGGGUCGCCAGCUUUUUCGGUUCCUGUCUCCAUUGAGUAUGUUGCUGCUGUACGCUGUUACGUCACUGCGGCUGCUCAUCAGCCUGAUCAACAGUCGAAACACGUCUUGUGCAGCAGUUUGUUGUGGUCGGUGUCGUUCCGUGCUCGUCGCGCGCUACCGGAGCUGCUCCCAGUGA